GACGAACGCUGGCGGCGUGCCUAAUACAUGCAAGUAGAACGCACAGUUUAUACCGUAGCUUGCUACACCAUAAACUGUGAGUUGCGAACGGGUGAGUAACGCGUAGGUAACCUGCCUGGUAGCGGGGGAUAACUAUUGGAAACGAUAGCUAAUACCGCAUAAUAUUGAUUAUUGCAUGAUAAUUGAUUGAAAGAUGCUAUUGCAUCACUACCAGAUGGACCUGCGUUGUAUUAGCUAGUAGGGGAGGUAACGGCUCACCUAGGCGACGAUACAUAGCCGACCUGAGAGGGUGAUCGGCCACACUGGGACUGAGACACGGCCCAGACUCCUACGGGAGGCAGCAGUAGGGAAUCUUCGGCAAUGGACGAAAGUCUGACCGAGCAACGCCGCGUGAGUGAAGAAGGUUGUCGGAUCGUAAAGCUCUGUUGUAAGAGAAGAACGGGUGUGAGAGUGGAAAGUUCACACUGUGACGGUAUCUUACCAGAAAGGGACGGCUAACUACGUG
rnacentral:rRNA from 1 species